rnacentral:rRNA from 1 species
GACGAACGCUGGCGGCGUGCCUAAUACAUGCAAGUCGAACGAAGUGGCGAACGGGUGAGUAACGCGUAAUCAACCUGCCCUUCAGAGGGGGACAACAGUUGGAAACGACUGCUAAUACCGCAUACUGAAGGAGGGGAUUGCGUCGGAUUGGCUAGUUGGAGGGGUAACGGCCCCCCAAGGCGAUGAUCAGUAGCCGGUCUGGGAGGAUGGACGGCUCCAAUGGGAAUGGAACACGGCCCAAACCCCUACGGGAGGCAGGAGGGGGGAAUCUUCCGCAAUUGACGAAAGGCUGGCGGAGCAACGCCGCGUGAGUGAUGACGGCCUUCGGGUUGUAAAGCUCUGUUAAGCGGGACGCGGUACCGGAAUAGAAAGCAACGGCUAACUACGUGCCAGCAGCCGCGGUAAUAC